rnacentral:rRNA from 1 species
UACGUAGGGGGCAAGCGUUGUCCGGAAUCAUUGGGCGUAAAGAGCGCGUAGGCGGUCCGGUAAGUCGGUUGUGAAAACUGGGGGCUCAACCCUCAGAGGCCGACCGAUACUGUCGGGCUAGAGUCCGGAAGAGGCGAGUGGAAUUCCUGGUGUAGCGGUGAAAUGCGCAGAUAUCAGGAGGAACACCAAUGGCGAAGGCAGCACUCUGGGACGUGACUGACGCUGAGACGCGAAAGCGUGGGGAGCAAACAGG